UAUAAUGCAGUCGAACGACUCUGGUAUUGAUUGGUGCUUGCAUCAUGAUUUACAUUUGAGUGAGUGGCGAACUGGUGAGUAACACGUGGGAAACCUGCCCAGAAGCGGGGGAUAACACCUGGAAACAGAUGCUAAUACCGCAUAACAACUUGGACCGCAUGGUCCGAGUUUGAAAGAUGGCUUCGGCUAUCACUUUUGGAUGGUCCCGCGGCGUAUUAGCUAGAUGGUGGGGUAACGGCUCACCAUGGCAAUGAUACGUAGCCGACCUGAGAGGGUAAUCGGCCACAUUGGGACUGAGACACGGCCCAAACUCCUACGGGAGGCAGCAGUAGGGAAUCUUCCACAAUGGACGAAAGUCUGAUGGAGCAACGCCGCGUGAGUGAAGAAGGGUUUCGGCUCGUAAAACUCUGUUGUUAAAGAAGAACAUAUCUGAGAGUAACUGUUCAGGUAUUGACGGUAUUUAACCAGAAAGCCACGGCUAACUACGUGCCAGCAGCCGCGGUAAUACGUAGGUGGCAAGCGUUGUCCGGAUUUAUUGGGCGUAAAGCGAGCGCAGGCGGUUUUUUAAGUCUGAUGUGAAAGCCUUCGGCUCAACCGAAGAAGUGCAUCGGAAACUGGGAAACUUGAGUGCAGAAGAGGACAGUGGAACUCCAUGUGUAGCGGUGAAAUGCGUAGAUAUAUGGAAGAACACCAGUGGCGAAGGCGGCUGUCUGGUCUGUAACUGACGCUGAGGCUCGAAAGUAUGGGUAGCAAACAGGAUUAGAUACCCUGGUAGUCCAUA
rnacentral:rRNA from 1 species